GGAGGUGCGGCUGUUGCGCACCGUGGCGGCUUGUGUGCGGCCGUGGGUUCCGGAGGCGGGCCUUCUUCGGCCCCGAGGGUGGAGAGUGCUCCGGUUAAUCCGGUAGCUACGGAAAGGUGGCGAUCAGCGUUCGGUUAUUCUGGGUCGAGCAGCCAGACUUUGGUUAUCUUACUAUUUUUGAGACAAGGUCUCGCUGUGUAACUCAGGUUAGCUUUGAACGUAAUGUAGCUCCAGCAGGCAUGGAGCACGCGGCGAUGCUACCCAGUUUCCAGAAUGCUAACAUUACAGGCUGGACCAGCCUUAGGAGCUUUUUGUUUUGUUUUACUUUGUUUUGACUGGUGCUCGUAGUCCACGCUUGCCUCGCACAUGAUCUUCUGGUCUACACUUCCCAAAAAGAAGAUUAUAAAUGUCAGAGCCAUUUAACUGAUGGUUAGCUGUUGAAUUCUGAUACUUACUGCGCUGGGAAAAAUUCGGGAAAAGCAGAUAGAAGAGGACCUCCACAUUAGCAAUGGCUAUUCCAAUAACAGUGCUUGACUGUGAUCUCUUGCUGUAUGGCCGAGGUCACCGGACCUUGGACCGUUUUAAGCUGGAUGAUGUGACUGACGAAUACUUGAUGUCCAUGUAUGGAUUCCCCCGACAAUUCAUAUACUUCUUAGUGGAACUCUUGGGGGCAAGCCUUUCUCGGCCUACUCAGAGAUCUAGGGCUAUUAGCCCUGAGACACAGAUCCUGGCAGCAUUAGGGUUUUAUACCUCAGGGUCCUUCCAGACUCGGAUGGGAGAUGCAAUUGGAAUUAGCCAGGCCUCUAUGAGUCGCUGCGUUGCAAAUGUCACUGAAGCCCUUGUGGAACGGGCCUCACAGUUUAUUCACUUUCCAGUUGAUGAAGCUGCCGUACAGUCUCUAAAGGACGAAUUCUAUGGAUUGGCAGGGAUGCCAGGGGUGAUAGGGGUGGCUGACUGUAUCCAUGUAGCAAUCAAGGCACCAAAUGCGGAAGACCUCUCUUACGUGAACCGAAAGGGUCUGCAUUCUCUAAACUGCCUGGUGGUGUGUGACAUCAGAGGGGCACUGAUGACUGUGGAGACAAGCUGGCCAGGUAGCCUCCAGGACUGUGCUGUGCUACAGCGGUCUUCUUUAACCAGUCAGUUUGAAACUGGGAUGCCCAAAGAUAGCUGGCUUCUUGGUUGUGCUACACAAGCAUUGUUGUAUGAUUGCAGUGUCCGAGAAUCCAGUGCCCCUGAGUCCUGAUGGCUACUGCAGACACAGCUCUUACUCUUCUCAGCACUGGGAAGACAAAUCCCCGGGAGAGUGUAUGAAAUCCCCAGGUGACAGUUCCUUCUUUCUCCGAUCCUGGCUCUUGACACCACUACCCAUUCCUGAAACUGCAGCGGAGUAUCGCUACAAUAGGGCUCAUUCUGCAACUCACAGUGUGAUUGAGAGGACGUUGCAGACCCUCUGCUGUAGGUUCCGGUGCCUGGACGGAUCCAAAGGGGCACUGCAGUACUCACCGGAGAAAUGCAGCCACAUCAUCUUAGCUUGCUGUGUCCUUCACAACAUUUCCCUGGACCAUGGCAUGGAUGUUUGGUCCUCUCCAGUGCCUGGACCCAUUGACCAGCCCCCUGAGGGGGAGGAUGAGCACAUGGAGUCUCUGGACUUAGAGGCUGACAGGAUCCGGCAGGAGCUGAUACUCACUCAUUUCAGUUAGAAUGAGGGUAGAGGGAGGAGGAAGGCUUUCCAGAAUAAACCGACAAUUUCCCCCCUUAUUAGCACUGGGCAGAUCAGUCAUCCAGUGCUACUGAAUGUGUGCACUUGUCAUAAAUUUUUUAAAGUUUCAGGAGGGCAGGUGCAAGGGCAGAUGUGUCAACUAGACCAAAAUCAAGACAGUGUUUCCCUAAUGUUCAGUGAACCCCAGGCUGUGCACUGUUCUUUGGAAAGUUCACUAGUUGUAAGAAAAAAAUCACACAAUGAAGGAGAAAACAGCAUACAGCCAAAGAGUUUUGUUGUUUCAGUUGUCUGGAGAUCUCAAAGAAAAGUGUUUGUCCUGAUUGAUUUAUUUACUCAUUUAUUGCUAGUUUGUGUGAGACAGUUUUUUAUAUAGCACAGGCUGUCCUGGUACUCACUGUGUAGCCCAGGUUGGCCUGGAGCUUGUAACAGUUCUCCUGCUUCAGCCUCUCAAAUACUGGUCUACGCUAUCCUGCCUGGUGCCCUGAGUCUUUGUUUUUCUUCUUUGCUAUCUACAUAGGCAAAUAGAAAGAAUGAAUGAAUUUAAUUGAGAAAUGAUCUAAUAUAAGUAAGUGAGCACUUGCCUAGCAUGUGUGAUGUAUUGAUCCCUAGAACUGAAAGAAAGAAACAGUAAAACUAAAGAGAAGGGCUGGAGAGAUGUCUCAGUAGUUAAGAGCACUGACUGCUCUUCCAGCACUGUAUGGUGGCUCACAGCCAUCUGUAAUGGGAUACAGUGCCCUCUUCUGGUGUGUCUGAGGACAGCAACAGUAUACAAACACACAAAAUAAAUCUUUCAAAAAUAAAAAAAAAGAACUACUUCUGGACUGCUCUUGUGGGAUUGUUUUGAAGAGGACAUUAAGCUGGGCGUGGUGGUGCAUGCCUUUAAUCCCAGCACUUGGGAGGCAGAGGCAGGCGGAUUUCUGAGUUUGAGGCCAGCCUGGUCUACAAAAGUAGUGAGUUCCAGGACAGCCAGGGCGAUACAGAGAAACCGUCUCGAAAAACCAAAAAAAAAAAAAAAAAAACAAAACAAAACCAAAAAAAAAAGAAGAAGAAAAGAAGAGGACAUUAAAGAGAGUGGGAAGCUGUCGUUCUUAGUGUGCCAGCACUAACUGGACCGUGAUUUGGAUCUAGUUACUUGAGGGAAUAUCUGAAUUCCAGUUCUCCUGGUUCACUCUUGAGUCAGAGUUAGAGACUAAAUGGGGUUAAGGACUGAGCAGAUUUGAAUAAAGUAAUUAAAUUAUAGACAAAAUCCAAGUUUAUACUUUACAGAGACUCUAAAGACCUUGGCAGUUCAAUGAGCAAGAGAUUCCUACAAGUUUAUAAAAUUCAUAUAUUGUGUGGGAGGGGUGCAUGGUGCAUGUGUAGAGCUCAGAGGACAACUUGUGAGUGAUUAAACUCCUAUCAGGUUUGCCAGGAAGCCUCUUUACCUGUUGAGGUAUCUUUUUCUUUUUUAAAUUUAUUUAUUUUAUGUAUAUGAGUACACUGUCACCAUCUUAGACACACCAGAAGAGGGUAUCACAUUCCAUUACAGGUGGUUGUGAGCCACCAUGUGGUUGCAGGGAAUUGAACUCAGGACCUCUGGAAGAGCAGUUGGUGCUCUUAACUGCUGAGCUCUCUCUGCAGCUUCCUUCUGAGGUAUCUUGAUGGCCUGAUGUUUCAUGUUUCUUUCUUCUUUCCUUUUUCCCUUUUUAAUGUGGCAACUUUGAGAUUAAAUUUUCAGAGCCUGCUUCCUGCAUAGCAUGCAAGUGCUCUUCCUCAGAACCAUAUACUUAGCUCACUUUUUAAAAAAAGAUUUAUUUAGCCGGGCAUGGUGGCGAACACCUUUAAUCCCAGCACUUGGGAGGCAGAGGCAGGUGGAUUUCUGAGUUCCAGACCAGCCUGGUCUACAAAGUGACCAGACAGCCAGGGCUACACAGAGAAACCCAGUCUUGGAAAAAAAAAAAAGAUUUAUGUAUGUAUGUGUGUGUGUGUUAUGUAUGUGAGUACACUAUAGCUGUACAGAUGGUUGUGAGCUUUCAUGUGGUUGUUGGGAAUUGAAUUUUAGGACCUCUGCUCCAGUCAGCCCCACUCACUCAGACCUGCUCACUCAGGCCCAAAGAUUUAUUUAUUAUUAUAUAUAAGUACACUGUAGCUGUCUUCAGACACACCAGAAGAGGGCGUCAGAUCUCAUUACGGGUGGUUGUGAGCCACCAUGUGGUUGCUGGGAUUUGAACUCAGGAUCUUUGGAAGAGCAGUCAGUGUUCUUACCCACUGAGCCAUCUUGUUAGCAUGCUCACUUUUUUUUUCUUCCAUUUUAUUAUUGUGUUGCCCAAGCUGGCCUUGAAUUCAGUAGUCUAGACACACCUUAAACUUGUGAUCCUCCUUCUUCAGCUUCCUGAAUAGCUGGGAUUUCAGACCUAUGCCACCAGACCUGUCUUGGUUAUGUUUCCUUUGGCAAUGAUAUGAGAAUACUUAUAUAGUAUGUUUGGAAAUCCUUUGUAGAGAGGACAGUCCUUGGGAGAAAACAGGAAGCCCUGUCUUUAAAAAGCUGAAGUACAAAGUAUGUCUUGAAAUAAACUCUUAAGAGUUAGACCUUAGAAUAUUAUAUGUAGAGUGAUAGACAGAACUUCCCAGGAAAUAAAUAAUCCCCUAACAAGUCUUGUUCUAAAAUCUCACCUUUGUAAAAAUAACCUGAUAGGGAUAAUACAAGUGUGAAUGAGGUUCACACGUUGGUGUCUUUGCUAGGACUAAAAAGAUUUUCCUGAGGAUUGUCUUGUUCCCAUUUUCUCAGUCACUCAUCAUGUGACACCUCUGAGCUGGCCUCUUGGAUCAUUUUCUACCUGCCUUUGGCAGUGUUAAUCUGGUGACGAAGAAGUGUACAGCGGGUGACAGAGGAAUGUGGAAAUAAAUUGAGGGUGACUCAUCCUAAAGAUUAGAAACAA